rnacentral:rRNA from 1 species
AGCCUGAUGCAGCGACGCCGCGUGGGGGAUGAAGGCCUUCGGGUUGUAAACUCCUUUCGCUAGGGACGAAGCUUUUGUGACGGUACCUAGAUAAGAAGCACCGGCUAACUACGUGCCAGCAGCCGCGGUAAUACGUAGGGUGCGAGCGUUGUCCGGAAUUACUGGGCGUAAAGAGCUCGUAGGUGGUUUGUCGCGUCGUCUGUGAAAUUCCGGGGCUUAACUCCGGGCGUGCAGGCGAUACGGGCUAACUUGAGUACUGUAGGGGUAACUGGAAUUCCUGGUGUAGCGGUGAAAUGCGCAGAUAUCAGGAGGAACACCGAUGGCGAAGGCAGGUUACUGGGCAGUUACUGACGCUGAGGAGCGAAAGCAUGGGUAGCGAACAGGAUUAGAUACCCUGGUAGUCCAUGCCGUAAACGGUGGGCGCUAGGUGUGAGGGACUUCCACGUCUUUCGUGCCGUAGCUAACGCAUUAAGCGCCCCGCCUGGGGAGUACGGCCGCAAGGCUAAAACUCAAAGGAAUUGACGGGGGCCCGCACAAGCGGCGGAGCAUGUGGAUUAAUUCGAUGAAAGGCGAAGAACCUUACCUGGGCUUGACAUACACCAUUUCGCGAGAGAGAUACGGUUUCCCUUG